GGGGUCAAAACCCCCUACCCCACCAUUUGGUCUUCUUGCAAAGAAAUAAGGUGACAACCCAUCGCCAACAGCUGUCCAGAACCCACCGCAGCCCGUGUGAGUCCUGCCGGACACCAGUUGUCUGACUGUGAGUCUUCCUGCAAACCUGGGCUUCAACAACUUGAAACUGGUCUACGGACUGAAAGAAGAGAAAACUUGCUCUGUGGUUAUCACAUGAGAAAGAAAAGAUAUCCAAAAAUUUAAGAGAUUAGCAUUGUUUUGUUUGAAUCAACACAUAUGCCAAGUUAUCUGUCCUCCAUCAGCAUGGCUCACAGGGGUCCUUGGUGGACAGCUUCCCAG
rnacentral:lncRNA from 1 species